rnacentral:rRNA from 1 species
UACGGAGGAUCCGAGCGUUAUCCGGAUUUAUUGGGUUUAAAGGGAGCGUAGGUGGAUUGUUAAGUCAGUUGUGAAAGUUUGCGGCUCAACCGUAAAAUUGCAGUUGAAACUGGCAGUCUUGAGUACAGUAGAGGUGGGCGGAAUUCGUGGUGUAGCGGUGAAAUGCUUAGAUAUCACGAAGAACUCCGAUUGCGAAGGCGGCCGCCUGGCCUGUUACUGACGCUGAGGCACGAAAGCGUGGGGAGCAAAUAGG